rnacentral:rRNA from 1 species
UACGUAGGUGGCAAGCGUUGUCCGGAUUUACUGGGCGUAAAGAGCGCGCAGGCGGUCGUUCAAGUCGCGUGUGAAAGCCCCCGGCUCAACUGGGGAGGGUCACGCGAUACUGAUCGACUCGAAGGCAGGAGAGGGUAGUGGAAUUCCCGGUGUAGCGGUGAAAUGCGCAGAUAUCGGGAGGAACACCGGUGGCGAAGGCGGUUCUCUGGGCCUUACCUGACGCUGAGGAGCGAAAGCGUGGGGAGCGAACAGG